AGCGAACGCUGGCGGCAGGCCUAACACAUGCAAGUCGAACGAAGUCUUCGGACUUAGUGGCGGACGGGUGAGUAACACGUGGGAACGUACCUUUUGGUUCGGAACAACUCAGGGAAACUUGAGCUAAUACCGGAUGAGCCCUUAGGGGGAAAGAUUUAUCGCCGAAAGAGCGGCCCGCGUUAGAUUAGCUAGUCGGUGAGGUAAAGGCUCACCAAGGCUACGAUCUAUAGCCGGUCUGAGAGGAUGAUCAGCCACACUGGGACUGAGACACGGCCCAGACUCCUACGGGAGGCAGCAGUGGGGAAUCUUGCGCAAUGGGCGAAAGCCUGACGCAGCCAUGCCGCGUGAAUGAUGAAGGUCUUAGGAUUGUAAAAUUCUUUUACCAGGGACGAUAAUGACGGUACCUGGAGAAAAAGCCCCGGCUAACUUCGUGCCAGCAGCCGCCGUAACAC
rnacentral:rRNA from 1 species